rnacentral:rRNA from 1 species
UACGUAGGGUGCGAGCGUUACUCGGAAUUACUGGGCGUAAAGCGUGCGCAGGCGGUGAGCUGUGUCCGAUGUGAAAGCCCCGGGCUUAACCUUGGAAUGGCAUUGGAAACUGGCUCGCUGGAGUGUGGCAGAGGGGGGUGGAAUUCCGCGUGUAGCAGUGAAAUGCGUAGAGAUGCGGAGGAACACCGAUGGCGAAGGCAGCCCCCUGGGCUAACACUGACGCUCAGGCACGAAAGCGUGGGGAGCAAACAGG